rfam:Triticum aestivum genome assembly, contig: Triticum_aestivum_CS42_TGACv1_scaffold_133825_2BL
AUGGUACUCCCUCCGUCCGGAAAUACUCGUCGGAGAAAGGCAUAAAAAUGGAUGUAUCUAAAACUAAAAUACGUCUAGAUACAUCCAUUUCCCCGACAAGUAUUUCCGGACAAAGGGAGUAGUUG